rnacentral:rRNA from 1 species
AACGAACGCUGGCGGCAGGCUUAACACAUGCAAGUCGAACGGCUGUAGCAAUACAGCAGUGGCAGACGGGUGAGUAACACGUGGGAACCUUCCUAGGGGUACGGAACAACUCAGGGAAACUUGAGCUAAUACCGUAUACGUCCGUGAGGAGAAAGAUUUAUCGCCCUUAGACGGGCCCGCGUCGGAUUAGGUAGUUGGUGGGGUAACGGCCUACCAAGCCUACGAUCCGUAGCUGACCUGAGAGGAUGAUCAGCCACACUGGGACUGAGACACGGCCCAGACUCCUACGGGAGGCAGCAGUGGGGAAUCUUGGACAAUGGGCGCAAGCCUGAUCCAGCCAUGCCGCGUGAGUGAAGAAGGCCUUAGGGUUGUAAAGCUCUUUUGCCAGGGACGAUAAUGACGGUACCUGGAGAAUAAGCCCCGGCAAACUUCGUGCCAGCCGCCGCGGUAAUAC